CUGCAUUAUUAUUAUUAUUAUUAUUAUUAUUAUUAUUAUUAUUAUUAUUAUUAUUAUUAUUAUUAUUAUAUACAAAGCCUCAUUUGUCAAAUGUUUUAUGAUUUUGAAUUCUGAACACACUGACUUUAUGAAAAAUGUAUCGCUUAUAUUAUGAACUUUCACAAUUCCUUUGUGAAUGGAAACAUUGUUAUGCUAUAGCCAGAGGCAGCAACAGCUAAUUAAAAAGGAGCCAAAUCAAACAUGUGGGACAGAUGUUUAAUAAAAACAUGCUUAGAAGAUGAUAAACAUUCAAGAUUAAAAACAGGAAAAUGAAAAGAAAAAUAGUUAAAAGAAUUAUUUACUGAGAAGAACAGACUUCCAGGCGCUGUUUAGAGUCGUACAGUGCAGCAUUGUUACUGUUUCAACAUGGUUUUCAGCACAAUUUCAACCUGUCAGUCCCUAGAAGCUGUAAGGAAUAUUUAUUUUAAAUUGUGCACACUUGAAUAUAAAACUGUUGUCAAAUUAAGUCACAAUAAAGGUAUUAGCUAACUCUGAAGGUUAAAGGUUUUAAGGCACAAUUUUAGGUCGACAGAGUUUGUUACGACGUUCAUCAGACUUGCCUUGUUAUUAUGCGUGCACUGUACACAGGCAUUAAAGUCAUUUUUAUUAAUAAGUGGGUUGGGUAGACAAAUGAGCAAAAUAACAAGUCUGUAAUUUAAGAUUUAAGAGUUAAAAACAUACUAGAAUGUAAAUCAUCAGGUCAGCUCAAGUUCUCCUCAAAGACAGAUGUGUGAUUGAUGGCAGUAAUGUGUUGUUGUGGUCAUAUUCUGCAUCCAAUUAGCGCUGAUCUAUUGUUGCUGUGUGCUGUUUUAAUGACCGCAGUAGGCGGGAGAUGAUUGGCCUCAAUAUCAUUUGUCUUCCUAAUCAUGUGUUUAUCACAGUGAGGUCUGCAGAGGGUCUCUGGUGAGCAAUGUACAAACCCUGCGUCGCUCUGUGUCCGGGUCGAACCUGCAGCACCCAGUCGAAAGGAGAGCCAUCAUUAGCAUGCAGAGAGCUCGGAGGAGAAGCCACGGUUGGUAAUCACCUGGUUACACGAGGGAGGGAUGAUUUCCAGGAAAUGGAGGAUAAUCAGUGCUUUUCUUCUUUUUAAGAAGCAUUAUCGCGGGGCCGCCGCCGUCGUCGUCUAGAUCACUUUUCUACUGGUCCAGCUGCUUGUUGUUGGAGACACAGGAAACACUCUUCUGAGAAAUAACUUUUAAUUUCUGAAAAUCACGACGGCGUUUUGAAGUGGACCAAUAAAGUUUUGCUUCCCAGGAAGCGCGAGCCGUGG
rnacentral:lncRNA from 1 species